UACGUAGGGGGCAAGCGUUGUCCGGAUUUACUGGGCGUAAAGAGCGUGUAGGCGGCCACGCAGGUCCGUUGUGAAAACUGGAGGCUCAACCUCCAGCUGUCGACGGAAACCGUGUGGCUAGAGUCCGGAAGAGGAGAGUGGAAUUCCUGGUGUAGCGGUGAAAUGCGCAGAUAUCAGGAAGAACACCAAUGGCGAAGGCAGCUCUCUGGGACGGUACUGACGCUGAGACGCGAAAGCGUGGGGAGUGAACAGG
rnacentral:rRNA from 1 species